rnacentral:misc_RNA from 1 species
CCAUAUGCAAUUCCCCCUACAAAUAGGGAAAAAAAAUCUCGAACAAGGGAUAUAUUUAUUUCUUUUUUUGUUUGGUCAAUAAUAGAGAACAUGUAGGAUUGGUAUUAAGAAGCUGAGCUUCAGCCAACAGACAACUCCCAACUGCAACUUUUUCUGAGUUAAGAAUUACAAUUACAACCACAUUUGCAACUAGAUUGAGGCUAUUUGGUUCAGUAAAAUUCAUUCUGAAAAAUAAAUUAUUA